CAUUGCAGACGCUGCAUGUGGUGGAACGAUAUGGGAGGGAGAAGAAGGAGGUCGUCGUCGGGCUAUUGUGGGAGAGGGAUAGAGUAUGGGAAGGGGGGAUAAAAUCAAACCAGGAAGAGACAUAUAAUGAUCCCAAGACGGAGCGAUCUAUGGGUGGUUUCAAAUGAGAGGUAAUGAAGUCUUGAUUAAAUGCAUCGAGAUGUAUUUCAAACAUAGGAACUGAUGCAGUAACGAAGUUUUGAUACAGUGAUGGAAGAAUAAAAUAACCGAUAGAGGAAGCAAGUGUGGAAUGUGAAAUAAAAGAAGUUGAAGAUAACAAAAUGAGAGGUUUGGUAAUGGAAGUACUCCUAAUUAGCAGGAUCUUGGUGUGUUGGAAUUACAAGCUAAUGCUAGUACUCUAGUAGAGAUUAAAACACGGGAUUUUAUGUAAAAAAUCCACUCCCCAUGUAAUCUGCUCCUGCUGGUGUGAGUACAUGUCAAAUGUCACCUAAUCACCUAAUGCUAAUGCUAGUACUUGUUGUUUUAAAAUGACCCAGGAGUAUUUGUCUUAUAUUUUUGUACUAAUGCAAAAUCCUAAAGUAAACUAAUGAUGUAAUCCAAUAGUCCACAGACGUGCACUUUGUUCACUCAACCCACAUAUAGUACACAGACGUGCACUUUGUUUAGUAGGAAUAGAUCCACCAAGUACAAAAAAAUAUUACAGUUCCCAAUCUUGUAAAUUUGUUGUGUAUA